UUGAGAGGAGCUGUCCUUAGUACGAGAGGACCGGGAUGGACAUACCUCUGGUGUACCAGUUGUCGUGCCAACGGCAUAGCUGGGUAGCUAUGUGUGGACGGGAUAAGUGCUGAAAGCAUCUAAGCAUGAAGCCCCCCUCAAGAUGAGAUUUCCCAACUUCGGUUAUAAGAUCCCUCAAAGAUGAUGAGGUUAAUAGGUUCGAGGUGGAAGCAUGGUGACAUGUGGAGCUGACGAAUACUAAUCGAUCGAAGACUUAAUCAAAA
rnacentral:rRNA from 2 species